UACGUAGGGAGCAAGCGUUGUCCGGAUUUACUGGGUGUAAAGGGUGCGUAGGCGGCUUAGUAAGUCAGAAGUGAAAUCCAUGGGCUUAACCCAUGAACUGCUUUUGAAACUGCUAAGCUUGAGUGGAGUAGAGGUAGGCGGAAUUCCCGGUGUAGCGGUGAAAUGCGUAGAGAUCGGGAGGAACACCAGUGGCGAAGGCAGCGUACCGGCGCCCAACUGACGCUGAAGCACGAAAGCGUGGGUAUCGAACAGG
rnacentral:rRNA from 1 species